AAUAUUUUUAUAGUAGUAUAAACUGAAUACAAUUAAAUAACAGGCAGUUUUCAAGGGGAAGCCCGUUGGAAUCGGGCGCGGCCCCGCCACUGUAUAUCCUGUUUUUCUAGAAAUUAAACGCUGGAAAAACAGGAGAAGUCAGGAUACCUUAGAACUGCUUAAAGAAAUU
rfam:Candidatus Omnitrophica bacterium CG1_02_43_210 cg_0.2_sub10_scaffold_1170_c, whole genome shotgun sequence.